GUAGAUAAAGGGAAUUUGGAUGCAGGCCUCUGAAAUGAGCAGGAGUCAGUCUAACUUUAGCUUUAAUAACGUGAGAUUUGCAGAAGUGGGGAUAGUGCGAAGCGAGUGGUGAAAAAGUGUGAAAGAGGAUCGUGUAGGGAAACAGUGU